GCCGCGCGCAACUAGGAGAAAGGGUGGUGGGUGCGCUGUGGGACGAAUGGCUUCUCCCUCGUUCCCAGGCGCGUGCACCGACCUCCGCAUCCCGGAUUCGCCCUCUCCCGUGCCCUCGCCCUCGCCAUCACCCUCUUUCCCGCGCCCCCGCUCGCCCUCCUGCGCACUCGCUGCAUUCUAUUUCCCCUACCCGCGCCCGCAGUCGCCCUCCCACGCGUGCCAUAAUUUUGCCCCCCUCCCGUGCUCGCCCUCGGUCACAAACUCACCAUUGCCCUCCCUCUCGCAGCAACCGGCCUCUUCGCCCAUCGCCGGGGUACUCGCUGCGGACGGAGGUUGCGAUGGAUCCAAGCAUGGCUGCUGCAUUCGCUCAUUUUUUGCAAGGUCCGAACUUAGUGGCUAGUUUAUCUCAAUCUGCCAGCCAGCCUUCUCCUUUCCCCUCACACCCGGUGAUCCCAUUCCAACCUCCAUCGUUUUCCCCCUUCUGUACGCAGCCGCCGGGCCCGCCAGCUCCACCUCCAUCGCCCCCAAACACAGCCAAGGCAAAGCCUUCGAGCUCCAGAUCUGCACGCCGUCACCGUGUGACUGCUUCCCCAGAAGCUGCUGUUGAUCCUAAGAGGAAAAUGUACUAUCAACAGAGGAGGAUAUAAGGCUGCACGCCAUGAUCCAUUGGAAUCGCCACCGAGGAGGACAGGAAAAGACAGAGCGCCAUAAUUAUUGAUUUUCAUAUAUAGGAAAAAACUUCAGUGUCCCCUUACCAUAGUUAGUGAUCCAUGUGUCAAUUGCUCUGCACCAAAUCCACAGGGUGUAUUUCAAAGAAAAGGCUCCUUCCAUGUGCUUGUUGUGGCUGAUGGACGGAUGAUAACAAUUGGGAGCCGUGAGUUUUGUUCAUAUGCCAGCAUCUCACCCAUUGCUUUUGUGAACACAUAGGCAUUCGCCCAUCCAAACUUCUUAGCUCUAUUUAGUCAUCAUGCGACGGUUGUCUUAAUAAUGUUGUUCCUAAUGAUGUAUCACAUAAAAAGUACUAGAAGUCUAGCGAAUAGCAAUGAAUAAAAUUAUGUGUGAAACCUUUGUGCGCCUA